UAAAAUAAAACUCUGUAGUCACGAAUUUGAUUGUGUUGGUAUGAAUAUAUGUUGUAGUAUGUGAUUCCUACAGUGUAAGAAAAAUAUACUAAUGUCUUAGAAACUUAAAAUUAUUGAAAUAGAUUAAGGAAGCCACCGCUAUGGUGAAUUACUAUGGUUAGAUUGAUUUGUUUAGAUCCAGUGAAAUUGCUGCUUUGACAACGCUACGUCAUGGUACUCUAUUCCAUACUUUAUGCGAGCAUAAAUGUAUAUAUAGUUUUCUGAUGUACAAGCAUUUCAUUAAUGUGGACCACUGUUUUUGUAAGUGAAUGUCUGUGUGGUUGUUUAGUGUUUCUGUUUAGCCUGAGUAAUGUGUUUUGUCUAAAUGGGUAUGCACCUGUGGCUCGGAAGCAUGGUGCCACUGAUGUGUUCAGGCUGUGAAGUUCCAGUGGCAUGGCUGGAAAAGCGUCGAUGAGUGAUAGCACUUGGAAUAAAUGCCUCAUGCUCACUUACAACACUGGGUAUACUCAUGGAAUCAUCUGGAACGAGAAAGAUGAAUGACAUCAGAGAUGAGACAUGUCAGUUGAUCUACUGAGCAUUGCGGCUAAGUGUGUCUUGGGAUGGUUGGCGUGAUGGCUGGCUGUCCUGCUCCCAGACCGUCCCUGUGCCAGUGUUUGAACGGGACAUGGUGGCCAGACUUAAGCGGUAGGCUGAUGUGGAUGUUCCCACCGUACUAAUAGACGUCUUUCCCUGAUAUGCUAGACAGAAAAAGAGCAACAGGUUAAAAUAUGGAAAUCAAACAAAGCUUCUGAAACAUGCAUCUCAUUCAUUGAUUGUGAGCCUAAAAAAUAAUAAUAAAUGUAUCUGCCUUUCAAUGUCAGUCGUAAGCAAGGCUUUGAACCGGUUCACAGAACGAAAAAAACGAAAACCAGAAACUUUUGAUGUUUUGCUGGGAGCAGAAACGAAACCAGAAACUUUACAUUUUUUAAUGUUCCGGAACAGAAUUUUUUCCGUUCUUUGACAAGAUUUCUAUGCAAUAUGACUUGGGGAGGUUCACUUCCAGCCCUUCACUCAUCGGGAGAAAUAUAAUAGAGAAGUUUGCCGCCAGCUGUACAGGCAGAAUCUUUUUUCAUUUCCCUCUGGGCCCUGACAAAGUUAUUGACGUUUGUUUAAAAGUCUAUAUUCAUAAUGGCAGCUGUACGUACACCAUUGUGAUUUUGUAUUGUCUGAUGACAUAAGAGAGACAAAAAUGCACUGAUUGGGCCCUGACCAGGUUUGGCCAAUUGAUGUUCACAAUGGCAGCUAUGUAGCCUACCAUAUUUUAGUUAUUUGCAUUAGUUGCAUAGGCUUUUGGAUGGAUGUAAGAACUACAGUGAUGCUUCUGUAAUGCUUUGUGGUUUUGUACUGUUGGAUGACAAGAGAAACAAACUGAUUGGGCCUUGACCAGGUAUGGUCAAUUGAAGUUCUCAAUGACCGCUAUGUAGCCUGCCCUAUUUGUCAUUUGAGCUGUGUUAGAAGUAUAAUGGAUAUGUGUUCAGUUGUUUGCCAAUAAACGACAUGGCAGACA